CAAGACAAAGUAAUCCAGCUGGUACAUAAAGAGAUGAGUAAACAGACAGAGAUCAUUACUUGUAGGCUUUAUACCACUUACUUUCCAAAAGUUGAAGAGUUGAAUUCCAUUUCAAUCAGAAAGGAUGAAGUGCACUAUACUGUUCCUUGUGCUGUCGAUGGUCGUCCUCAUGGCUGAACCUGGGGAAGGCUUUAUUUCCCAUAUUAUUGGUGGAAUUAUUCAUGCUGGCAAGGCUAUCCAUGAAGCAAUACAACGUCACAGACGAAGAGGAGAACUGCAGCUAGAGCAGGAACUGCAGCAACAACUACAGCAACUGAAACAACUUCAGCAACAGGAAAAGCUGAACCAACGCUUUAACCGAGAGCAGCUCAAACGAGAGAGAGUUGUUUUUAACUAGACUUCCACCCGAAAGAGAAAGUCUAAAACUCUUUACUGUAGUUGAAAAGAAUGCAUAACCGAAUUAAUAUAACCACGCGUGGCUUUAAGACAUGUUUGAAUGAUUGAGUACAUGAUGAGAUGAUUUAAAGAGACAAAUAAGUUGUUCUGAAUAAAUUCUCAAUAAGGUUAAAUAUUCUGCAUCACUUGUAAUGUGUAGAACUGCUUUAUUAUUUCACCAACCCAUUUUAAUAUAAUGCUAAAAAAUAAAUCUGCAUGCACAAAAA